rnacentral:rRNA from 1 species
UACGUAGGCAGCGAGCGUUGUUCGGAAUUACUGGGCGUAAAGAGUGUGUAGGCGGUGCUCCCAGUCUGUUGUGAAAUCUCCCGGCUUAACUGGGAGGGUGCAGCGGAAACUAGAGUGCUAGAGGGUGGGAGAGGUAAGCGGAAUUCCUGGUGUAGCGGUGAAAUGCGUAGAUAUCAGGAGGAACACCUGUGGUGUAGACAGCUUACUGGACCACUUCUGACGCUGAGACACGAAGCGUGGGUAGCAAACAGG